AUAAGAGGUCCAGCCUGCCCAGUGACUCUGUUCAACGGCCGCGGUAUCCUAACCGUGCGAAGGUAGCGUAAUCACUUGUUCUUUAAAUGAGGACUAGUAUGAAUGGCACCACGAAGGUUAUACUGUCUCCUUUCUUUAAUCAGUGAAACUAAUCUCCCCGUGAAGAAGCGGGGAUAAAUAUAUAAGACGAGAAGACCCUAUGGAGCUUUAAACAAGUAACAACUGCCUUAUUAAUCUCUUAAUCUCAGGAAAUUUACCCCUUAUCCAGGCAUUUUGAUUACAAGUUUUAGGUUGGGGUGACCGCGGAGCAUAAAAUAACCUCCACAGUGAACGGGACUCAUUCCCUAAACCAAGGGCUACAACCCUAAGCAUCAAUAAAUUGACACCUAUUGACCCAAUAUUUUGAUCAAUGAACCAAGUUACCCUAGGGAUAACAGCGCAAUCCACUUCAAGAGCCCCUAUCGACAAGUGGGUUUUCGACCUCGAUGUUGGAUCAGGGUAUCCCAGUGGUGCAGCCGCUACUAAUGGUUCGUUUGUUCAACGAUUAAAACCCUACGUGAUCUGAGUUCAGACCGGAGUAAUCCAGGUCAGUUUCUAUCUAUAAAGAGCCUUUUCUAGUACGAAAGGACCGAAAAAGCAUGGCCUAUACUAUAUGCAAGCCAUAACAACUAAUUUAUGACACAAC
rnacentral:rRNA from 1 species